rnacentral:rRNA from 1 species
UUUCCUACGGGAGGCAGCAGUGGGGAAUAUUGGACAAUGGGCGAAAGCCUGAUCCAGCCAUGCCGCGUGUGUGAAGAAGGCCUUCGGGUCGUAAAGCACUUUAAGUUGGGAGGAAGGGCUCAUAGCGAAUACCUGUGAGUUUUGACGUUACCAACAGAAUAAGCACCGGCUAACUUCGUGCCAGCAGCCGCGGUAAUACGAAGGGUGCAAGCGUUAAUCGGAAUUACUGGGCGUAAAGCGCGCGUAGGUGGCUUGAUAAGUUGGAUGUGAAAUCCCCGGGCUCAACCUGGGAACUGCAUCCAAAACUGUCUGGCUAGAGUGCGGUAGAGGGUAGUGGAAUUUCCAGUGUAGCGGUGAAAUGCGUAGAUAUUGGAAGGAACACCAGUGGCGAAGGCGACUACCUGGACUGACACUGACACUGAGUGCGAAAGCUAUC